GGGUUGUGAGGUUAAGCGACUAAGCGUACACGGUGGAUGCCCUGGCAGUCAGAGGCGAUGAAGGACGUGCUAAUCUGCGAAAAGCGUCGGUAAGGUGAUAUGAACCGUUAUAACCGGCGAUGUCCGAAUGGGGAAACCCAGUGCAAUUCGUUGCACUAUCGUUAACUGAAUACAUAGGUUAACGAGGCGAACCGGGGAACUGAAACAUCUAAGUACCCCGAGGAAAAGAAAUCAACCGAGAUUCCCCAGUAGCGGCGAGCGAACGGGGAGCAGCCCAGAGUCUGAAUCAGCUUGUGUGUUAGUGGAACGGUCUGGAAAGUCCGACGGUACAGGGUGAUAGUCCCGUACACCAAAAUGCACAGGCUGUGAACUCGAAGAGUAGGGCGGGACACGUGGUAUCCUGUCUGAAUAUGGGGGGACCAUCCUCCAAGGCUAAAUACUCCUGACUGACCGAUAGUGAACCAGUACCGUGAGGGAAAGGCGAAAAGAACCCCGGCGAGGGAGUGAAAAGAACCUGAAACCGUGUACGUACAAGCAGUGGGAGCACCUUCGGGUGUGACUGCGUACCUUUGUAUAAUGGGUCAGCGACUUAUAUUCUGUAGCAAGGUUAACCGUAUAGGGAGCCGCAGGAAACCGAGUCUUAACUGGGCGUUAAGUUGCAGGGUAUAGACCCGAAACCCGGUGAUCUAGCCAUGGGCAGGUUGAAGGUUGGGUAACACUAACUGGAGGACCGAACCGACUAAUGUUGAAAAAUUAGCGGAUGACUUGUGGCUGGGGGUGAAAGGCCAAUCAAACCGGGAGAUAGCUGGUUCUCCCCGAAAGCUAUUUAGGUAGCGCCUCGUGAACUCAUCUUCGGGGGUAGAGCACUGUUUCGGCUAGGGGUCAUCCCGACUUACCAACCCGAUGCAAACUACGAAUACCGAAGAAUGUUAUCACGGGAGACACACGGCGGGUGCUAACGUCCGUCGUGAAGAGGAAACAACCCAGACCGCCAGCUAAGGUCCCAAAGUCAUGGUUAAGUGGGAAACGAUGUGGGAAGGCACAGACAGCCAGGAUGUUGGCUUAGAAGCAGCCAUCAUUUAAAGAAAGCGUAAUAGCUCACUGGUCGAGUCGGCCUGCGCGGAAGAUGUAACGGGGCUAAACCAUGCACCGAAGCUGCGGCAGCGACACUAUGUGUUGUUGGGUAGGGGAGCGUUCUGUAAGCCUGCGAAGGUGUGCUGUGAGGCAUGCUGGAGGUAUCAGAAGUGCGAAUGCUGACAUAAGUAACGAUAAAGCGGGUGAAAAGCCCGCUCGCCGGAAGACCAAGGGUUCCUGUCCAACGUUAAUCGGGGCAGGGUGAGUCGACCCUAAGGCGAGGCCGAAAGGCGUAGUCGAUGGGAAACAGGUUAAUAUUCCUGUACUUGGUGUUACUGCGAAGGGGACGGAGAAGGCUAUGUUAGCCGGGCGACGGUUGUCCCGGUUUAAGCAUGUAGGCUGGUUGUCGGGCAAAUCCGGAUAAUCAAGGCUGAGGUGUGAUGACGAGGCACUACGGUGCUGAAGUAACAAAUGCCCUGCUUCCGGGAAAAGCCUCUAAGCAUCAGGUAACAUCAAAUCGUACCCCAAACCGACACAGGUGGUCAGGUAGAGAAUACCAAGGCGCUUGAGAGAACUCGGGUGAAGGAACUAGGCAAAAUGGUGCCGUAACUUCGGGAGAAGGCACGCUGGUGUGUAGGUGAAGUCCCUGCGGAUGGAGCUGAGACCAGUCGAAGAUACCAGCUGGCUGCAACUGUUUAUUAAAAACACAGCACUGUGCAAACACGAAAGUGGACGUAUACGGUGUGACGCCUGCCCGGUGCCGGAAGGUUAAUUGAUGGGGUUAUCCGUAAGGAGAAGCUCUUGAUCGAAGCCCCGGUAAACGGCGGCCGUAACUAUAACGGUCCUAAGGUAGCGAAAUUCCUUGUCGGGUAAGUUCCGACCUGCACGAAUGGCGUAAUGAUGGCGGGCUGUCUCCACCCGAGACUCAGUGAAAUUGAACUCGCUGUGAAGAUGCAGUGUACCCGCGGCAAGACGGAAAGACCCCGUGAACCUUUACUAUAGCUUGACACUGAACAUUGAGCCUUGAUGUGUAGGAUAGGUGGGAGGCUUUGAAGCGUGGACGCCAGUCUGCGUGGAGCCAACCUUGAAAUACCACCCUUUAAUGUUUGAUGUUCUAACGUUGGCCCUUACCGGGGUUGCGGACAGUGUCUGGUGGGUAGUUUGACUGGGGCGGUCUCCUCCCAAAGCGUAACGGAGGAGCACGAAGGUUAGCUAAUCCUGGUCGGACAUCAGGAGGUUAGUGCAAUGGCAUAAGCUAGCUUGACUGCGAGCGUGACGGCGCGAGCAGGUGCGAAAGCAGGUCAUAGUGAUCCGGUGGUUCUGAAUGGAAGGGCCAUCGCUCAACGGAUAAAAGGUACUCCGGGGAUAACAGGCUGAUACCGCCCAAGAGUUCAUAUCGACGGCGGUGUUUGGCACCUCGAUGUCGGCUCAUCACAUCCUGGGGCUGAAGUAGGUCCCAAGGGUAUGGCUGUUCGCCAUUUAAAGUGGUACGCGAGCUGGGUUUAGAACGUCGUGAGACAGUUCGGUCCCUAUCUGCCGUGGGCGCUGGAGAAUUGAGGGGCUGCUCCUAGUACGAGAGGACCGGAGUGGACGCAUCACUGGUGUUCGGGUUGUCAUGCCAAUGGCACUGCCCGGUAGCUAAAUGCGGAAGAGAUAAGUGCUGAAAGCAUCUAAGCACGAAACUUGCCCCGAGAUGAGUUCUCCCUGAGACUUUAAGUCUCCUGAAGGAACGUUAAAGACGAUGACGUUGAUAGGCCGGGUGUGUAAGCGCAGCGAUGCGUUGAGCUAACCGGUACUAAUGAACCGUGAGGCUUAACCUUACAACGCCGAAG
rnacentral:rRNA from 1 species